rnacentral:tRNA from 1 species
UCGUAAUGCGUAGGUCGGGGGUUCGAAUCCCUUCAUCAGC